UACGUAGGGGGCAAGCGUUGUCCGGAAUCAUUGGGCGUAAAGCGCGUGUAGGCGGCCCGGUAAGUCCGCUGUGAAAGUCGGGGGCUCAACCCUCGGAUGCCGGUGGAUACUGUCGGGCUUGAGUACGGAAGAGGCGAGUGGAAUUCCUGGUGUAGCGGUGAAAUGCGCAGAUAUCAGGAGGAACACCGAUUGCGAAGGCAGCUCGCUGGGACGUUACUGACGCUGAGACGCGAAAGCGUGGGGAGCAAGCAGG
rnacentral:rRNA from 1 species